rnacentral:rRNA from 2 species
CCCUAGUAACUGCGAGUGAAGAGGGAAGAGCUCAAAUUUGGAAUCUGAUGGCGUGACGGCCGUCCGAGUUGUCAUCUAGAGAAGUGUUCUUCUGCGCUGGGCCGUGUACAAGUCUCCUGGAAGGGAGCAUCACAGAGGGUGACAAUCCCGUCUUUGACACGGAGAAGCCAGGGCUUAUGUGAAGGCGCUCUCAACGAGUCGAGUUGUUUGGGAAUGCAGCUCUAAACGGGUGGUAAAUUCCAUCUAAAGCUAAACAUGGGCGAGAGACCGAUAGCGAACAAGUACCGUGAGGGAAAGAUGAAAAGAACUUUGGAAAGAGAGUUAAACAGUAUGUGAAAUUGCUGAAAGGGAAACGCUCGACGUCAGUCGCGUUGGCUUAGGGAUCAACCUUGCAAGUCGCAAGACUUUGCUGGGUGUACUUCCUGGCUGACGGGUCAACGUCAGUCUCGUUCGCUGUAGAAGGGCUGGAGAAAGGUAGCACUCCUAGGAGUGUGUUAUAGUCUUUGGUCGAAUGCAAUGAAAGGGACUGAGGAACUCUGCACAGACCAGGGAGGACUUGUGCUUUGGACGUUGGCAUAAUGGCGUCGAGCGACCCGUCUUGAAACACGGACCAAGGAGUCUAACAUGCAUGCGAGUAUUUGGGUGGCAAACUCGAGUGCAGAAUGAAAGUGAAGGUCGAGACCUCUGUCGUGGGGGGCAUCGACGCCCGGACUAGAGUCCCAUGGGACAAAGGCUCUGCGGUAGAGCAUGCAUGUUGGGACCCGAAAGAUGGUGAACUAUGCCUGAAUAGGGCGAAGCCAGAGGAAACUCUGGUGGAGGCUCGUAGCGAUUCUGACGUGCAAAUCGAUCGUCGAAUUUGGGUAUAGGGGGCGAAAGACUAAUCGAACCAUCUAGUA